GACGAACGCUGGCGGCGUGCCUAAUACAUGCAAGUUGAGCGCUGAAGGUUGGUACUUGUACCAACUGGAUGAGCAGCGAACGGGUGAGUAACGCGUGGGGAAUCUGCCUUUGAGCGGGGGACAACAUUUGGAAACGAAUGCUAAUACCGCAUAAAAACUUUAAACACAAGUUUUAAGUUUGAAAGAUGCAAUUGCAUCACUCAAAGAUGAUCCCGCGUUGUAUUAGCUAGUUGGUGAGGUAAAGGCUCACCAAGGCGAUGAUACAUAGCCGACCUGGGAGGGUGAUCGGCCACAUUGGGACUGAGACACGGCCCAAACUCCUACGGGAGGCAGCAGUAGGGAAUCUUCGGCAAUAGACGAAAGUCUGACCGAGCAACGCCGCGUGAGGGAAGAAGGUUUUCGGAUCGUAAAACUCUGUUGGUAGAGAAGAACGUAGGUGAGAGUGGAAAGCUCAUCAAGUGACGGUAACUACACAGAAAGGGACGGCUAACUACGUG
rnacentral:rRNA from 1 species